AUCCUCAAAUAAGAUGGAACC
rnacentral:snRNA from 1 species